ensembl:lncRNA
GACCCAUGAGGGGUCGGGCUGGCUGGUGGUUCUCCAGGAUAUCGGCUGGGAGGCCCUGUUGGGGGGUGACUGUGUCUCUUUGGGACAGGAUCCAGGCCCCACUCCUGUAACGGCCAAGGGUUUGAAUUUAAAUCAAGGGAACCAAUUGGCUGGGAUGGAAAUGGUCAGUGAAAAUGCAAAUGACCUGGCUGGCAGGGGGGAGGGGCUGCUGGGCUCAGGAUACCUGCCUACCUGUAACCAGCCCCCUGGGGCUGAGUGGGAGGGAGAGAUGCUCCCCGCCCCCCUGCACACCGGAGAGGGGGCUCACGCUGGCUCUGAUGCUGUGACCAGAGCAGAGAGCUCGCUGCCUGCCCCCACUGGGACAGCAAGGGCAGCGCUGAGCACGGGGGGAGCUGAGACCCCAGCUGAGUGGGGGGACACCCAGGCAGGGCAGGUCAGCUGCCAAACAGGUUUGCCUGGUCCAGACGUGCUGCUGGGAAGUGAUUACACAGCAGGGAGGGAGCUACCAGGGACAGGGCUCAGGGGGGCUGUGACCCCAGGCCCAGCCAGCGAGAGGGAGCAGGUCCCACUCCCUGCCCCAGCCGCUGAAUCCCAGACCGAGCUGCAGAGGGAUCCCUCCUUGGAGAAGCUGAGGGAACUUGCUGGCCACAGCGCUGCAAACCCCCUUGGGGAAGGCUGCAGGGACAGAGCCCUGCAGGAGAAGGGAUUCCUGUACCGGGAAUGGGCUCCCCAAGGGGAAGUAGAACUGGGGGGAAUCGGGAGGCAGCUGGUGGUACCCCAGGAAUCCACAGGGUUCUUCCCAUUCGAGCUGCUGGAUGGGAGAAGAGUGAGGGGACCCCUGGACCUGAAGAGGGAGGAUUGGAUGGAGAAGGGGGAAGACCCCCGGGGGGAUCUCUUCCCUGAGGUGGGAGCCAAUCUCCCCAUCAGGUGUUCCCCAUUCAGAGUCACUGGGAAAGCAGCCCAGAACCUGGAGAGAGAGGUCAGGGACAUGCUGGCUUUAGAUGGGAUCCAGCCAUUUUACAGCCCAUGGGCCUCACCCGUGGGGCUGAUCCCCAAGCGAGACAGGAUGAUCUGGUUUUAUGGGGGCUAUCAGAAGCUUAAAGCCAUCACAGUGUCCGAUGCCGACCCCAUGCCUAGGCCUGGGGAGAUUCUAGACAAGCUGAGAGGGAUGGAGAACUUGGCCCUGGCAGACACUGAUAACAUGUGCAUCUUUAGCCAGACCUGGGAGGAACAGGUGUCCCAGGUGAAGAGGGGGCUGGGCUGCCUCAAGGAGGUGGGACUGACGGUAAAAGCUGGAAAGUGCAAGGGGGGAUGGCAGAGGUGUUGUGUCUGGGCCACAAGGUGGGGAGCGGCUGCCCAAGCCCAGAGCUGGCCACGGCCAAGAUGGGGGCUCUUAACCAAGAGAGCCCAAAUCGUAACCCAGGGUGCUGGGAGAAGACCCUCUCCCAGUUUAAACCCCAGGGGUAUUGGGGUGGCAAAAGGGUACAGGCCGCAUAAACCUUCCCACAUGCGGCCUGCGAGUGCCAUCAAGCACACUCGAGCAAAGAGAGGGCGUGAGACUGGACUGCCUGGUGUAACUCACACCAAGGAAUGGGAGAGAUGCUGGGGCAUUCCUGGAAACUUUGGUGGGUUCGAACUUCCCCAGGUCACUGGCUGGAGUGACCUGGCUCAGUUCGGUCUCAAAGGGC